GACGAACGCUGGCGGCGUGCUUAACACAUGCAAGUCGAACGGAAAGGCCCUGCUUUUGUGGGGUGCUCGAGUGGCGAACGGGUGAGUAACACGUGAGUAACCUGCCCUUGACUUUGGGAUAACUUCAGGAAACUGGGGCUAAUACCGGAUAGGAGCUCCUGCUGCAUGGUGGGGGUUGGAAAGUUUCGGCGGUUGGGGCUGGAUUCGCGGCUUAUCAGCUUGUUGGGGGGGUAGUGGCUUACCAAGGUUGUGACGGGUAGCCGGCCUGAGAGGGUGACCGGCCACAUUGGGACUGAGAUACGGCCCAGACUCCUACGGGAGGCAGCAGUGGGGAAUAUUGCACAAUGGGCGGAAGCCUGAUGCAGCAACGCCGCGUGCGGGAUGACGGCCUUCGGGUUGUAAACCGCUUUCGCCUGUGACGAAGCGUGAGUGACGGUAAUGGGUAAAGAAGCACCGGCUAACUACGUG
rnacentral:rRNA from 1 species